AAAGCAAAGCACUGAAAAUGCUUAGAUGGGUAUUUUAUACCCCAUAAACA
rnacentral:tRNA from 1 species